rnacentral:rRNA from 1 species
UUAGACGGCCAUAGGGAGUGGGUCCCACCCGGUCUCAUUCGAACCCGGAAGUUAAACCACUUUCCGUACCGGUCUGUACUGCGCUUUAGGUGUGGGAAAACCGGUAAGCUGUCACCC